UCUAAAAUUCCUAAGUCCUUGCUCUCUCUUAUCUCUUUUCUUCUGUUCUCCUCUCUAUGUCCUUAUUGUCCUCAGGUUCUCACCUUCUCAUUCCAAACAAUUUUUUUUUUCCUGGUAGCACGGAAAGUGAAAGAAACUGGAGGUAGGAAGACGAGGCUCUUGUGUCUCAUCUAUGGUGGUAUCUUCCUGGAGUGGAAUCUAGGGCGCGGCGGAAGCCAUACGCUUGAAAGAAGGGGAAGUGAAAGGCGGAGGACUUUUGAGUUUUAUUGGCCGAGAAGCAAGGGCACGGUGUCUCUCUAUGGAUUUGGUUCGGUCUCGGUGUGGAAGCUCGGGGAAUCAGCUUUGUGGAUAGUGGUUUUGUGGUUGUGGGAUUUUGGAAACUCUAGAUUUGGUUCAGGGUAGGGUUGUGUGGUUGACUGAUUAGGUUGGGAGCUGGGCUGCGCAUGCGAUUGACUGGGUUUUCAUGCCGUCAAAACCACUACCUUGGGAUCGGAAGGACUUCUUCAAGGAGAGGAAGCACGAGAGGUCGGAGUCUUUAGGUUUGCUGCAAGAUAGAGGGACUCACAUCAAGUUUCUUGGGAGUUUGCUCGUUGGGAUCGGCAGAUUUUCGCCGCCCUACAGGACAGUUGGGAAUUCAUAGGAAGAUUUGUCCAGACAUGGUUAUUAUCUUUUGGCAGAAAAACUCAAAGAUGAGGGUGAGAAAAAGGUUGUUCAAGCAGUUUUAGUGAAACAUAUCUGGGUUAAACUAGUCAAAGAUAACUUGUACCAUCAGGACUCUCAAAACCUUGUUGUGGAGAGGUGUGAAGAGUGACCUAUGGCGCUUGUCACUUUGAAUGCUUUUGAUCUCAUCUUGACAUCUCAGGGUCUCAACCUCGGUACUCUCUUUGAAAAGCCAAUGGUACAUUGUAGCUUUGAUUGUUGUCAAGUUCAAUGAAAUAUUAAGAAUCUAAGUUUAUUUAUUUAUUUGUGUGUAAAGUUACAGCUUCUAAGUGAUAUAAUCAAGAAUAUCUUCAAGUGCCUAGGAUGAUCUUAGAUGCUUUACUUGUAGGUUCUAUUAUAUAAUAACUUAUGAGAUUACAGCUUGGUUUAUAACUCAGAAAUAAUUUUUUCACCUCUCCUCCACCAACACCACAACAACAAAAAUUAAGGAGUAAUUGUUGUCUCUCGUAAGUCAUAACAUAAGAAUGCUUUUGAUCUCAUCUCGACAUCUCAGGGUCUCAACCUUGGUACUCUCUUUGGAAAGCCAAUGGUACAUUGUAGCUUUGAUUGUUGUCAAGUUCAAUGAGAUAUUAAGAAUCUAAGUUUAUUUAUUUAUUUGUGUGUAAAGUUACAGCUCCUAAGUGAUAGAAUCAAGAAUAUCUUCAAGUGCCUAGGAUGAUCUUAGACGUCUUGAUCUCAAAAGCAUCUUACCUUUCACCAUUUAAUUGUUCAAAAGUCUAUACAGAUAAUUCUAUCAUUGUGUUCUAAUCUUUACUUGUAGGUUUUAUUAUAUAAUAACUUAUGAGAUUACAGCUUGGUUUAUAUAUCAGAAAUAAUUUUUUCACCUCUCCUCCACCAACACCACCACAACAAAAGUUAAGGAGUAAUUGUUGUCUCUUGUAAGUCAUAACAUAUGUUGCUUCAAAGUUACAGCUAGAUAACUAAAUGAGCUUUAGUUGUUUAUUUAGCUAUGAUCUUAUCCUAAACUUCCUCAUAAAUAUGAAGCCUGCAUCUAACAUAUUCUUUGGUCGCCAGUGCCUUAUUAAACAGGAGACAAUAUUUACAUCGAAGCGUCCUGCCAAUGAGAUUAUCUAAAAAAUUGAGAAAACUAUUAUGCCUUUGGUUUUUAAUGUAAAGAAAAAUAACUUCAAUGUCAAUAAGCACUAUCUUUUUCUAUUUAAGAUGCAAUUUGCCAUAACUCUUCUUCUUUACACAACUUUCCUUAGUGAUUUAGAAAAUUAUUAAUCAAAUUUGAGGUGCAAGAUGAGAAUUUGUAGAGUGGAUGAAUUGGUGCAAGGAAUAUGAGUAUUGCAUGCAUUGAAUCUUGAUUGCUUUGCUUGUGACCUCUAUAUUAUCUUGAGUAGGCUUCCUCCUAAUUGCUAAGUUUGGAAGAUUGAAUAGAACCGAUGCACCUUAAUUAGACUUGGUUAUAGUUUUCUAACUUUCUAUUUGGUCUGCAAAUAAAAUCAACCCAGGAUUCUUGACUUCUCAUGUCCAAAAUUUUAAUCUGAUGAUAGUCUCCCAAUGAUUAGUUUAGUUUGUGGCUUGUCUAAAUCACAUAUAUACUUGUCAGAGUUAUGUGGAACUAAAUGCUUGGCAAAAUUACAAAAAUACUCUUGAGAUUUUCAUGGAAUUGAAUAGUUAGUGAUGCAUGUCUUGAUUUGUUUGACAAAGUCAUAUGGUAUUAUUAUGCUCUGCUAAAACCUUUGCAACCUACCUUAGAUGAAACUUCAAGGGGAGAAAUUUGGAUGCAAGGGUCAUUUAUCUAUUGCAAUAGAGGCAUUUCUCUCCUAGUUGCCUUGUUUGCAGGAUCCCCUGACCAUGAGUUCAUUGGAACAUUACCUGAAGAUGUCUCAACUGGAUGUCAAUAAUUUACGUGGACAAAUUUUUGAAGUGGCCCUUUGCUAUACAUGGUCAAGCUUUGAAAAUCUGGGGGAGAUACUCUAGAAUUUCACAAGGUAUGUAUCUACUAUCUCAAUGCAAUUCUCAUAUUAAAUUAGAAUGAAUAUUGAAUUUUUAUCCCGGGCAGAUUGGUUGCCAAUAUCUUGUUUGAUACCGAAGCCCUACCCUCUUUUAUGUAAAAAGCAUGUGUGAUAAAAUGUAGUGAUGUUUAUGCUAAAACAAGCUUCUACUACUUAUCUUUAA